GACGAACCGUGCGACCGUUGUUCGGAAUCACUGGGCUUAAAGGGCGCGUAGGCGGGCAUUCAAGUCAGGGGUGAAAUCCUCCGGCUCAACCGGAGAACUGCCUUUGAUACUGGGUGUCUCGAGUGAGGUAGGGGCAUGCGGAACUGAUGGUGGAGCGGUGAAAUGUGUUGAUAUCAUCAGGAACUCCGGUGGCGAAGGCGAGGUGCUGGACCCUUUCUGACGCUGAGGCGCGAAAGCCAGGGGAGCAAACGGG
rnacentral:rRNA from 1 species